GCGGACGUGGCGGAAUGGGUAGACGCAGCGGACUUAAAAUCCGCUUCCAGACAUGGAGUAGGGGUUCGACUCCCCUCGUCCGCACCA
rnacentral:tRNA from 1 species